CCUACGGGAGGCAGCAGUGAGGAAUAUUGGUCAAUGGGAGAGAUCCUGAACCAGCCAAGCCGCGUGAGGGAAGACGGCCCUAUGGGUUGUAAACCUCUUUUGUCGGAGAACAAAGGCGGAGAUGCGUCUCCGGAUGAGUGUACCCGAAGAAAAAGCAUCGGCUAACUCCGUGCCAGCAGCCGCGGCAAUAUGGAGGAUGCGAGCGUUAUCCGGUUUUAUUGGGUUUAAAGGGUGCGCAGGCGGGAGAUCAAGUCAGCGGUAAAAUGUCUGGGCUCAACCCCGGCCGGCAGUUGAAACUGGUUAUCUAGAGUUGGAGAGAGGUAUGCGGAAUUCGUGGUGUAGCGGUGAAAUGCAUAGAUAUCACGAGGAACUCCGGUUGCGAAGGCAGCAUACCGGCUCCAUACUGACGCUGAGGCACGAAAGCGUGGGGAUCGAACAGGAUUAGAUACCCUUGUAGUC
rnacentral:rRNA from 1 species